GCCAGCAUGGUAUAGUGGUUUGAGCAUUAGACUACAACUCUGGAGACCCUGGGUUCAAUUUCCACUCAGCCA